AUGCUUAAUAGGAGAGGAAGAUUAGUGUACAUCAAUUCGGUGGUCACGGCAACGACAGCUUACUUCUUGACAGCCUUUGCCCCGGAUAAGUGGUUUAUUAAGAAGGUGGAUAAGUUGAGAAGAAACUUUCUUUGGGAGGCUGCAGAUGCAAACAUUGGAGGGAAAAGCCUUGUCAACUGGAAGCAAGUUUGCUCCCCGAUAAGAUGUGGUGGACUAGGGGUCAAAAACAUUGACUGCUUCAGCCGUGCUCUCCGUCUAAGGUGGGAAUGGUUUCGAUGGGAAGAUGAGGAUAGGCCAUGGAAGGUAUCGCCGACGCCUUGCGGUGAGAUGGAUAAGCAGUUGUUUACGAGCUGCACGUCGAUUCAGCUUGGAGACGGCAGCAUUGCGGCGUUCUGGAGGGACCGAUGGUUAAACGGGGAGGCCCCAUGUCUUAUAUAUCCUGAGUUAUACCAACUGGCCAGAUUCAAGAAGAUGUCGGUUAGAGAGGCGCUCAACAAUGGAAGGUGGAUGCUUGGGCUACAGAGAAUGACAAUAGAUGGGCAACUCAAUCAGUUCGUUUGACUUUGGGAGGAACUUCAGUUGAUCCAGCUCACGGAUAGCAAAGACAAGAUCCUCUGGAACCUGACCGCUAAUCGAAAAUACUCUGCCGUCUCUGCUUAUGAUGCCCACUUUGUUGCAAGAAUCAACAAGCCUGGGAUGGCCCAAGUGUGGAGGGGCAAGAUGGAAGGAAAAGUUAAAUUCUACUUAUGGUUGUUGCUGCAAAACAGAAAUUGGACGGCGGAUCGUCUGCAAGCGAGGGGGUUGCCGCACAAUGACCUAUGUUGCUUUUGUGAUCAAGAAAAGGAGACGGCCGAACACAUCGCCCUGACCUGCUGCUUUGCGAAAGAGGUUUGGCUCCAGUCCCAGCAAGCUGAUGACAGGAUGGGCAUGCUGGCCUCCUCGGCAACCUCCAUUGGUGAGUGGUGGUCUCGGCUAUGCACAUGCGAUGGAAUCAAGGACAAAAACAGAGAUGCAAUCACACUUGCUGCUUACAUAGUGUGGAACUUGUGGAAAGAAAGAAACCGUAGGGUAUUUGAGCAGAAGGAGAUGACGUCGACUGCACUUGCUGGACUGAUAAGAGAAGAUGUCAAGAUUUUCUACGAGGCCAACAAAGAGGCGGGCGCUGGGGACACAUAA
rnacentral:rRNA from 1 species